GAUGAACGCUGGCGGCGUGCCUAAUACAUGCAAGUCGAGCGAACAGACGAGGAGCUUGCUCCUCUGCCGUUAGCGGCGGACGGGUGAGUAACACGUGGAUAACCUACCUAUAAUACUGGGAUAACUUCGGGAAACCGGAUCUAAUACCGGAUAAUAUAUUGAACCGCAUGGUUCAAUAGUUAAAGACGGUUUUGCUGUCACUUAUAGCUGGAUUCGAGACGCAUUAGCUAGUUGGUAAGGUAACGGCCUACCAAGGCUACGUUGCGUAUCUGACCUGAGGGGAUGAUCGGCAACACUGGAACUGGGACACGGUCCAGACUCCUACGGGAGGCAGCAGUGGGGAAGAUUGGACAAUGGGCGCAAGCCUGAUCCAGCCAUACCGCGUGAGUGAAGAAGGCCUUCGGGUUGUAAAGCCCUUUUGUUGGGAAAGAAAAGCAGCAGGUUAAUACCCCGCUGUUCUGACGGUACCCAAAGAAUAAGCACCGGCUAACUUCGUG
rnacentral:rRNA from 1 species